rnacentral:rRNA from 1 species
GAUGAACGCUGGCGGCGUGCUUAACACAUGCAAGUCGAACGGAGCUUAGAAGGAAGCUUGCUUUCAUUUAAGCUUAGUGGCGGACGGGUGAGUAACGCGUGAGCAACCUGCCCUCGAGUGGGGAAUAACAUCGAGAAAUCGGUGCUAAUACCGCAUAAUGUCGAGAGACCGCAUGAUCUUUCGACCAAAGGAUUUAUUCGCUUGAGGAUGGGCUCGCGUCCGAUUAGUUAGUUGGUGAGGUAACGGCCCACCAAGACUUCGAUCGGUAGCCGAACUGAGAGGUUGAUCGGCCACAUUGGGACUGAGACACGGCCCAGACUCCUACGGGAGGCAGCAGUGGGGAAUAUUGGGCAAUGGGCGAAAGCCUGACCCAGCAACGCCGCGUGAAGGAUGAAGGUCUUCGGAUUGUAAACUUCUUUGAUUGGGAAGAAUAAAAUGAC